CAAACAGGCCAAUAGUCUACAAUGUCUUUGAGGAGUCUGAUUUUCCCACUUUCCUCACACACGAGCUGUUUGGGAGACAGGAAGCCUGCAACUCUGAGCUCCUAGAUAUUGGUGGGUCAUCAAGCCAGCUGGGUUGCUCUAUUUCUAAACUGGAAGCAAGAAGAGGAACUUUCCAAGAAACCCCCCAACCACUUGGAAGUGGGAAGGAAGGACAUGUGCUUUUCAGGGGCUCACAGGAACCUCCAGAGGACAUGAACUUGGCCUGAGUAUCAGGAGGCAAGGCACUCAAGUGAGCUGAGGGCCCAUGGAAGAUGCCCUCCAGGACAAAUUUUCUCCUGUACCUCCAAAGAUGAAAGACCUACCAAAAGGAUGAAAUUUGCCUCAAGCUUUCAAAAUAUCAUAUCCAAGUUCAUUACUCGUGUGCCAUUCCAGUCAACUGGAGUCAAAUCCACCAAGCAGAAUCAUUGCCCGCGACCUUGUCUGCCAUUUAGAAAAUGACUUCCCAAACCACAGAGGGUUAAUUUGGAGCACACCUCUCCACACAGAGGUCUGCUUUUAUAUCUGAUGAAACCAAGGCAAUAUCUUGUCCCACACUGAUAUUUCCGUUUUCAAAAAGAAAAGUUUGUAAUUGCUGUUAUUUAUUUAUUUAUUUAUUUUUUAAACCUCCCAUAUAAGGGUCCCAAACUAUAGCCCUGAGCCUGUGGGUUCCUCAGAAGCCACCAGAUUGUGCAGUGUACUAUCACAGAAUGUCAUAUUAGAGCCCUGCCACAGUCUCAUCCAAUAAGUAAUCUGGCAUGAAGAAAAGUUAACUGAAUUAGUGGCCGACUGGGACACUUGGUGACCUACUCUUUAGGAACUAAGUCCUCUGAACUUUUCCAUUCUGCUUUGCCUUCAUACUUUAAUAGGGACUGAAUCCCCAUUAACAAUUGAGCGGCGACAAUAAGUGCCAUCAGGAAAAGGAAAUUCAAUUUUCGUGGGGGAUGACAGCCUUACCUUUUCGCGCUUAAUUGGCCGUAUUGUCUCCAAAAGUUAAUUGGUUACU
rnacentral:lncRNA from 12 species